UACGAAGGGGGCUAGCGUUGCUCGGAAUCACUGGGCGUAAAGGGUGCGUAGGCGGGUCUUUAAGUCAGGGGUGAAAUCCUGGAGCUCAACUCCAGAACUGCCUUUGAUACUGAGGAUCUUGAGUCCGGGAGAGGUGAGUGGAACUGCGAGUGUAGAGGUGAAAUUCGUAGAUAUUCGCAAGAACACCAGUGGCGAAGGCGGCUCACUGGACCGGUUCUGACGCUGAGGCGCGAAAGCGUGGGGAGCAAACGGG
rnacentral:rRNA from 1 species